rnacentral:rRNA from 1 species
UACGUAGGGGGCAAGCGUUGUCCGGAUUUACUGGGCGUAAAGCGCGCGUAGGCGGAACGAUCAGUCCGGUCUGAAAGCCCCCGGCUCAACCCGGGGAGGGUGGCUGGGAAACGUGUCGUUCUUGAGGGCGAGAGAGGAGGGUGGAAUUCCGUGGUGUAGCGGUGAAAUGCGUAGAGAUCAGGAGGAACACCCGUGGCGAAGGCGGCCCUCUGGCUCGACCCUGACGCUGGAGGCGCGAAAAGCGUGGGGAGCGAACGGG